GAUGAACGCUGGCGGCGUGCCUAAUACAUGCAAGUCGAGCGAAUGGAUUAAGAGCUUGCUCUUAUGAAGUUAGCGGCGGACGGGUGAGUAACACGUGGGUAACCUGCCCAUAAGACUGGGAUAACUCCGGGAAACCGGGGCUAAUACCGGAUAACAUUUUGAACCGCAUGGUUCGAAAUUGAAAUGCGGCUUCGGCUGUCACUUAUGGAUGGACCCGCGUCGCAUUAGCUAGUUGGUGAGGUAACGGCUAACCAAGGCAACGAUGCGUAGCCGACCUGAGAGGGUGAUCGGCCACACUGGGACUGAGACACGGCCCAGACUCCUACGGGAGGCAGCAGUAGGGAAUCUUCCGCAAUGGACGAAAGUCUGACGGAGCAACGCCGCGUGAGUGAUGAAGGCUUUCGGGUCGUAAAACUCUGUUGUUAGGGAAGAACAAGUGCUAGUUGAAUAAGCUGGCACCUUGACGGUAUCUAACCAGAAAGCCACGGCUAACUACGUGCCAGCCGCCGCUGUAA
rnacentral:rRNA from 1 species